ACCUUACCAGGUCUUGACAUCCUCUGAACACUCUAGAGAUAGAGUUUUCCCUUCGGGGACAGAGUGACAGGUGGUGCAUGGUUGUCGUCAGCUCGUGUCGUGAGAUGUUGGGUUAAGUCCCGCAACGAGCGCAACCCUUGAUCUUAGUUGCCAGCAUUAAGUUGGGCACUCUAAGGUGACUGCCGGUGACAAACCGGAGGAAGGUGGGGAUGACGUCAAAUCAUCAUGCCCCUUAUGACCUGGGCUACACACGUGCUACAAUGGAUGGAACAAAGGGAAGCGAACCCGUGAGGUCAAGCAAAUCCCACAAAACCAUUCUCAGUUCGGAUUGUAGGCUGCAACUCGCCUACAUGAAGCCGGAAUCGCUAGUAAUCGCGCAUCAGCAUG
rnacentral:rRNA from 1 species